AAGGGCAAUUCCCAGGCCAGGUUUCUGUCAGACAAGAGACAAUCUAUGGAGACCAUACCUCGGAAGCACAGAGGCUUGCAAACACUCAGGGAGCAUACCUCAGGACCUUAGAGACAGAGUCACUCAUGUGAGUUUCAUAGUUUGAAGUCAUACGAGAGCAGAACUUCCAACAAGGUAUUGCUGUAAACCUAAACCUCACGGAAGGCUAUUAUAGCAUCGGGAACAGAUGGUGAAGAUUUCCAUAAAACAGAAAGGGAAACAGACUUGUCUGAAGUGAGAAAGGAUGGAUGGAAAAAUCAGCAUCGUUGCCUCUCCUGUAGGUUACCAUCGUUGGGUUGAGCCAGAAGACUCCGGCUUUGUUUGUUGCUAUUGUUGUGGCUUUUGUCCUGUAUUUGUUUUUCUCACUUAAUAUCCAUAUUUUGAAGGAAAUAAAAAAAAGACUUAAGAUUUAUUCAAACUCCCAUUUCCUCUUCACAAAAUAGAAUAGGGGGGAGAACUUGAACUCUUUUCUGGAAGAUGGAAGGAAACUGUUUUGUGUGUUUUUUUUUUUUUUUAUCUUUGGGGUCACGCGUUGUUUUCGCCACAGAACUUCAAAGUGUCGCCCCCUGUGUGGAUGUUCUUAAUCGCUCACAAUGAAUAUGACGUAGAAGAAAAGGCAGGAGGAAGCAUACAUGUUGAAUUUACUCACAAUUGUGUCUGCAAAGUAGAACAGGGUCUCAUAUACUGUCUAUACAGUAGGCAAUGCAUAAAGAUUUGUCGGCUGAUUAUAUGACUAAAUGAGAGACAGUUGAAGAUAAAUUAUUCUUAAAAAACUUGAAUAAGUUAGCUCUUUGACCAGAUGGACAGUGUUUAAUAUUUAAAAAUAAAUCAUUGGGAGAGAAAAAGAGAACAGUACAUCCCAAAUUCUGAACAUUUAACUAGAAGACAUACAAAAUCCCUUCAAUGUAACCGAUCUCUGUGCUAUGAUUUAAGGCCUUUCAUGUUCCCAGACAACUGUCAAUUAGACAGCAGUUUUAUGGGGCAUCUGGGUGGCUCAGUCGCUUAAGUGUCUGACCUCGGCUCAGGUCACAAUCUCGGGGUUUGUGGGUUUGAGCCCCACCUCGGGCUCUGUGCUGACAGCUCAGAGCCUGGAGCCUACUUUGGAUUCUGUGUCUCCCU